rnacentral:rRNA from 1 species
CCCGACGACAAGAGUGCUGUGGUCCUACCUGACCCCAUACCGAACUCAGAAGUAAAACGCAGUAACGUCGAUGGUAGUGUGG